rnacentral:rRNA from 1 species
GACGAACGCUGGCGGCGUGCUUAACACAUGCAAGUCGAACGGUAAGGCCCUUCGGGGUACACGAGUGGCGAACGGGUGAGUAACACGUGGGUGAUCUGCCCUGCACUUCGGGAUAAGCCUGGGAAACUGGGUCUAAUACCGGAUAGGACCACUGCCUGCAUGGGUGGUGGUGGAAAGCUUUUGCGGUGUGGGAUGGGCCCGCCGCCUAUCAGCUUGUUGGUGGGGUGAUGGCCUACCAAGGCGACGACGGGUAGCCGGCCUGAGAGGGUGACCGGCCAGACUGGGACGGAGAUACGGCACAGACUCCUACGGGGGGCAGCAGUGGGGAAUAUUGCACAAUGGGCGCAAGCCUGAUGCAGCGACGCCGCGUGAGGGAUGACGGCCUUCGGGUUGUAAACCUCUUUCAGCACCGACAAAGCGCAAGUGACGGUAGGUGCAGAAGAAGGACCGGCCAACUACGUGCCAGCCGCCGCGGUAA